GUAAUAGCUCACUGGUCUAGUGAUUUUGCGCGGAAAAUAUAACGGGGCUAAAGUAAGUACCGAAGCUGUAGACUUGAUUUUAUCAAGUGGUAGGAGAGCGUUCUAUUUGCGCCGAAGGUAUACCGGUAAGGAGUGCUGGAGCGAAUAGAAGUGAGCAUGCAGGCAUGAGUAGCGAUAAUUAAUGUGAGAAUCAUUAACGCCGUAAACCCAAGGUUUCCUACGCGAUGCUCGUCAUCGUAGGGUUAGUCGGGUCCUAAGUCGAGUCCGAAAGGGUAGACGAUGGCAAAUUGGUUAAUAUUCCAAUACCAACAUUAGUGUGCGAUGGAAGGACGCUUAGGGCUAAGGGGGCUAGCGGAUGGAAGUGCUAGUCUAAGGUCGUAGGAGGUUAUACAGGCAAAUCCGUAUAACAAUACUCCGAGAACUGAAAGGCUUUUUGAAGUCUUCGGAUGGAUAGAAGAACCCCUGAUGCCGUCGAGCCAAGAAAAGUUUCUAAGUUUAGCUAAUGUUGCCCGUACCGUAAACCGACACAGGUGGGUGGGAUGAGUAUUCUAAGGCGCGUGGAAGAACUCUCUUUAAGGAACUCUGCAAAAUAGCACCGUAUCUUCGGUAUAAGGUGUGGUUCGCUUCGUAUUAGGAUUUACUCCGAAAGCGAAGAAACUUACAACAAAGAGUCCCUCCCGACUGUUUACCAAAAACACAGCACUCUGCUAACUCGUAAGAGGAUGUAUAGGGUGUGACGCCUGCCCGGUGCUCGAAGGUUAAUUGAUGGGGUUAGCAUUAGCGAAGCUCUU
rnacentral:rRNA from 1 species